rnacentral:rRNA from 1 species
AGUCGACGAUGAAUCUUCUAGCUUGCUAGAAGUGGAUUAGUGGCGCACGGGUGAGUAAUGCAUAGGUUAUGUGCCCUUUAGUCUGGGAUAGCCACUGGAAACGGUGAUUAAUACUGGAUACUCCCUACGGGGGAAAGUUUUUCGCUAAAGGAUCAGCCUAUGUCCUAUCAGCUUGUUGGUGAGGUAAUGGCUCACCAAGGCUAUGACGGGUAUCCGGCCUGAGAGGGUGAUCGGACACACUGGAACUGAGACACGGUCCAGACUCCUACGGGAGGCAGCAGUAGGGAAUAUUGCUCAAUGGGGGAAACCCUGAAGCAGCAACGCCGCGUGGAGGAUGAAGGUUUUAGGAUUGUAAACUCCUUUUGUUAGAGAAGAUUAUGACGGUAUCUAACGAAUAAGCACCGGCUAACUCCGUGCCAGCAGCCGCGGUAAUACGGAGGGUGCAAGCGUUACUCGGAAUCACUGGGCGUAAAGAGUGCGUAGGCGGGGUAAUAAGUCAGAUGUGAAAUCCUGUAGCUUAACUACAGAACUGCAUUUGAAACUGUUACUCUGGAGUGUGGGAGAGGUAGGUGGAAUUCUUGGUGUAGGGGUAAAAUCCGUAGAGAUCAAGAGGAAUACUCAUCGCGAAGGCGACCUGCUGGAACAUUACUGACGCUGAUGCACGAAAGCGUGGGGAGCAAACAGGAUUAGAUACCCUGGUAGUCCACGCCCUAAACGAUGGAUGCUAGUUGUUGCCUUGCUUGUCAGGGCAGUAAUGCAGCUAACGCAUUAAGCAUCCCGCCUGGGGAGUACGGUCGCAAGAUUAAAACUCAAAGGAAUAGACGGGGACCCGCACAAGCGGUGGAGCAUGUGGUUUAAUUCGAAGAUACGCGAAGAACCUUACCUAGGCUUGACAUUGAU